rnacentral:rRNA from 1 species
GCUCCAAUAGCGUAUAUUAAAGUUGUUUGCGGUUAAAAAAGCUCGUAGUUGGAUUUCUGCCGAGGACGACCGGUCCGCCUCUGGGGGUGAGUAUCUGGCUCGGCUUGGGCAUCUUCUUGGAGAACGUAGCUGCACUUGACUGUGUGGUGCGGUAUCCAGGACUUUUUACUUUGAGGAAAUUAGAGUGUUUCAAGCAGCAU